rnacentral:rRNA from 1 species
CCUACGGGAGGCAGCAGUGAGGAAUAUUGGUCAAUGGCCGGAAGGCUGAACCAGCCAAGCCGCGUGAAGGACGAAGGUGCCAAGCAUUGUAAACUUCUUUUGUCAAGGGACAAAAUCAGGCUCGAGAGCCUGACCGAGGGUACUUGAAGAAAAAGCAUCGGCUAAUUCCGUGCCAGCAGCCGCGGUAAUACGGAGGAUGCGAGCGUUAUCCGGGUUUAUUGGGUUUAAAGGGUGCGUAGGGGGUGUGUUAAGUCAGCGGUAAAAGCUCGGGGCUCAACGCCGGAUAGCCGUUGAAACUGGCAGUCUUGAGUAGUGGAGAGGUAUGCGGAAUGCGCAGUGUAGCGGUGAAAUGCUUAGAUAUUGCGCAGAACUCCGAUUGCGAAGGCAGCAUACC